ACAAACAAAUUGAGAAAGAAAAACAAAAUUCAUUCCUCUCUCACUCUCUCUCUUUAUCUAUAAAAAGUUCAUUCCACUUCCUUUUUGCUUCGUAUCAUCAUCAUCAUCUCCUCACACUUGGAUUUAGCCAAUUCCAAAUCAUACUCUCUUUUUCUCUACAGAUCAUAAUUCAUAAACAACUUGGCAUGUUCAAUUUGGUGGAUUAUGUUACCAGGGAUCUUUGUUUCCUCUGUGUCUGUUCAUCGACAAUGGCACAUAUCCUUUUUCUUGAUCUCUUUCAUUUAUUAAGAUUUCUUUGCUUUACCUUUUUUUUUAAUUGUUUAGGUUUCUUUAUUUUAUUUUUCUGUGAUAUUAUAUACUAUUUGUUUGGCUUUAAUUGAAGCAAACGUGGAAACCAAAGAGAACGUGAUCGUGAAAGAGCUCAAGCAAGAGGUAAUCAUAAGCCUAAGCAACCUAAGAACGAUGGAUUAACUCCUGAACAACGUCGUGAAAGAGACGCAAGAUCAUUGCAAGAGAAGGCAGCUACAAAGGCAGGACAAUCAAUGGGGGGAGGAGGGAACCAUGACCAUGCCCUUCGCGUUGGUGGUAAAAUUAAGAAAUAAGAUGAUGGCCAUGCAGUAGUAGUAGUAGGGGUUUAUGCGAUUUUGUAAUUGUAUGUUAUUUAUUGGUUGAUCAUCUGAAUUAAUUAUAUAUCGCGGAUGGGGGAGGUUUUCAAGAGUUGUGUUCAAGUGUGAUUCUGGUCUUGGUUUAUGAACUUUUUGCUACACGUCUUAUUCCAAUGGAAUGUGUAUGUGUUGAUGUAUCGUUCUUUUGUUUUCGAAUUUUCCGGUAUUAAUAUGCUUUGGGUUGUUCCCAAUUCUUGGUUUC